rnacentral:rRNA from 1 species
AGUGAACGCUGGCGGUAGGCCUAACACAUGCAAGUCGAACGGCAGCACAGUAAGAGCUUGCUCUUACGGGUGGCGAGUGGCGGACGGGUGAGGAAUACAUCGGAAUCUACUUUUUCGUGGGGGAUAACGUAGGGAAACUUACGCUAAUACCGCAUACGACCUACGGGUGAAAGCAGGGGAUCUUAGGACCUUGCGCGAUUGAAUGAGCCGAUGUCGGAUUAGCUAGUUGGCGGGGUAAAGGCCCACCAAGGCGACGAUCCGUAGCUGGUCUGAGAGGAGGAUCAGCCACACUGGAACUGAGACACGGUCCAGACUCCUACGGGAGGCAGCAGUGGGGAAUAUUGGACAAUGGGCGCAAGCCUGAUCCAGCCAUACCGCGUGGGUGAAGAAGGCCUUCGGGUUGUAAAGCCCUUUUGUUGGGAAAGAAAAGCAGCAGGUUAAUACCCCGCUGUUCUGACGGUACCCAAAGAAUAAGCACCGGCUAACUUCGUG